AUGUUUUAAAUUCAGAAGAUCUGCCUGCUCUGGGUCCACAGGUCCCUGUGCAUGGUUGGAAGGAGCUGGGCAGGAUGGGGGUGGGGGCAGUGUGUGUUUCUGUUAGGCACAGACCCCACCAACCCCUAUUGCCCUGUGUCCGCCUGCCUCACUUAGGCACGUUUGCCCUCCUGGCCCUGUGAGCAUUUGAGUCGCUCCUUGACCCCGCAGAGAGCCUGGAGCUUUUGGCCGGCACGUGUCGUUAGGAGGCCUGUGGACCUGACCCUCCAGGGGCUGCAGCCUCCUUACCCGGGCAGCUGUGUUUCCCUGGACAGGCCCAGCCCAGGGCAUCUGCCUGAAUCUCACCCCAACUCCAGACAGAGAACUGAAGGGGAGACAGGUUCUCCCAGAGACGCGGCUU
rnacentral:lncRNA from 1 species